rnacentral:rRNA from 1 species
CUCGGAAGGUGAAGUCUGACGGAGCACGCCGCGUGAGUGAUGAAGGUUUUCGGAUCGUAAAGCUCUGUUGUUAGGGAAGAACAAGUGCCGUUCAAAUAGGGCGGCACCUUGACGGUACCUAACCAGAAAGCCACGGCUAACUACGUGCCAGCAGCCGCGGUAAUACGUAGGUGGCAAGCGUUGUCCGGAAUUAUUGGGCGUAAAGGGCUCGCAGGCGGUUUCUUAAGUCUGAUGUGAAAGCCCCCGGCUCAACCGGGGAGGGUCAUUGGAAACUGGGGAACUUGAGUGCAGAAGAGGAGAGUGGAAUUCCACGUGUAGCGGUGAAAUGCGUAGAGAUGUGGAGGAACACCAGUGGCGAAGGCGACUCUCUGGUCUGUAACUGACGCUGAGGAGCGAAAGCGUGGGGAGCGAACAGGAUUAGAUACCCUGGUAGUCCACGCCGUAAACGAUGAGUGCUAAGUGUUAGGGGGUUUCCGCCCCUUAGUGCUGCAGCUAACGCAUUAAGCACUCC